GGAGCUGAUAUUGAAACAUUUUAAAAUUUAUUUAUUGCAGAUAUUCCAGUGUCUAAGAUGCCUCCAGAGAAUAAAAGCAAACACUUAAAAAAUUUGUGGACUACAUGCCCAGAAUGAUAUUUUCCUCUAAGGGAUGCCUAAAACUCCUCCCUAUUGAAAGGAAAAAGAUGAAGAAAGCAAUUAUUGCGAAAAACCAAACCCAAACAAAUGUUCAAUCAAGAUAUAACUUCUAUCAAAAAAUCUUCAGUGAGAAAACUUCAGUUUACUGA
rnacentral:lncRNA from 1 species